UACGUAUGGUGCAAGCGUUAUCCGGAUUUACUGGGUGUAAAGGGAGCGCAGGCGGCACGGCAAGCCUGAUGUGAAAGCCCGCGGCCCAACCGCGGGACUGCAUUGGGAACUACCGGGCUGGAGUGCCGGAGAGGUAGGCGGAAUUCCUAGUGUAGCGGUGAAAUGCGUAGAUAUUAGGAGGAACACCAGUGGCGAAAGCGGCUCUCUGGUCUGUAACUGACGCUGAGGUUCGAAAGCGUGGGUAGCUAACAGG
rnacentral:rRNA from 1 species